CACGUAGGGGGCGAGCGUUGUCCGGAUUUAUUGGGCGUAAAGAGCGUGUAGGCGGCCAGGUAGGUCUGCUGUGAAAACUCGAGGCUCAACCUCGAGACGUCGGCGGAAACCAUCUGGCUAGAGUCCGGAAGAGGAGAGUGGAAUUCCUGGUGUAGCGGUGAAAUGCGCAGAUAUCAGGAGGAACACUGGUGGCGAAGGCGGGUCUCUGGGCCGAAAUUGACGCUGAGGAGCGAAAGCGUGGGGAGCAAACAGG
rnacentral:rRNA from 1 species